GACGAACGCUGGCGGCGUGCUUAACACAUGCAAGUCGAACGGCGCGGCGAACGGGUGAGUAACGCGUGAGUAACUGCCCACCUAUCGGGGAUAACAGUUGGAAACGGCUGCUAAUACCGGAUAGUGGGGGGUGAGUCGAUUCCUAACAGCUUGUGGGGGGGGUAGUGGCCUACCAAGGCGACGACGGGUAGACGGCCUGAGAGGGCGACCGGCCACCUUGGGCUGAGAUACGGCCGAAACUCCUACGGGAGGCAGAAGUGGCGAAUAUUGCACAAUGGGUGAAACCCUGAUGCAGCAACGCGCGUGCGGGAUGACGGCCUUCGGGUUGUAAACCGCUUUCAGCCAUGACGCGGUAGUGGCAGAAUAAGCACCGGCUAACUACGUGCCAGAAGCCGCGGUAAUAC
rnacentral:rRNA from 1 species